rnacentral:rRNA from 1 species
UGGGGAAUUUUGGACAAUGGGCGAAAGCCUGAUCCAGCAAUGCCGCGUGUGUGAAGAAGGCCUUCGGGUUGUAAAGCACUUUUGUCCGGAAAGAAAUCCUUGGCUCUAAUACAGUCGGGGGAUGACGGUACCGGAAGAAUAAGCACCGGCUAACUACGUGCCAGCAGCCGCGGUAAUACGUAGGGUGCAAGCGUUAAUCGGAAUUACUGGGCGUAAAGCGUGCGCAGGCGGUUUGCUAAGACCGAUGUGAAAUCCCCGGGCUCAACCUGGGAACUGCAUUGGUGACUGGCAGGCUAGAGUAUGGCAGAGGGGGGUAGAAUUCCACGUGUAGCAGUGAAAUGCGUAGAGAUGUGGAGGAAUACCGAUGGCGAAGGCAGCCCCCUGGGCCAAUACUGACGCUCAUGCACGAAAGCGUGGGGAGCAAACAGGAUUAGAUACCCUGGUAGUCCACGCCCUAAACGAUGUCAACUAGUUGUUGGGGACUUCAUUUCCUUAGUAACGUAGCUAACGCGUGAAGUUGACCGCCUGGGGAGUACGGUCGCAAGAUUAAAACUCAAAUGAAUUGACGGGGUCAUA